CACUGACAUGGACCGAGUCCUCUUGAAGUAUACCGAGUACACGGAGCCGCAUGAAAGCCGGACUAAUACAGACAUCCUGGAGACCUUGAAGCGUAGAAGACUCGGACUGGAGUUGGAAGAAGGACUUGAGCACGAGGAGACAAUGAGGAGGCAGACUUUGCUUCUUGGUCAUGGUACCCCAUACCCAACAU